GAUGAACGCUGGCGGCGUGCCUAAUACAUGCAAGUCGAGCGAACAGACGAGGAGCUUGCUCCUUUGACGUUAGCGGCGGACGGGUGAGUCACACGUAGGUAACCUACCUAUAAGACUGGGAUAACUUCGGGAAACCGGAGCUAAUACCGGAUAAUAUUUCGAACCGCAUGGUUCGAUAGUGAAAGAUGGCUUUGCUAUCACUUAUAGAUGGACCUGCGCCGUAUUAGCUAGUUGGUAAGGUAACGGCUUACCAAGGCAACGAUACGUAGCCGACCUGAGAGGGUGAUCGGCCACACUGGAACUGAGACACGGUCCAGACUCCUACGGGAGGCAGCAGUAGGGAAUCUUCCGCAAUGGGCGAAAGCCUGACGGAGCAACGCCGCGUGAGUGAUGAAGGUCUUCGGAUCGUAAAACUCUGUUAUUAGGGAAGAACAAACGUGUAAGUAACUGUGCACGUCUUGACGGUACCUAAUCAGAAAGCCACGGCUAACUACGUG
rnacentral:rRNA from 1 species